UGGGGAAUAUUGGGCAAUGGGCGAAAGCCUGACCCAGCAACGCCGCGUGAGGGAAGAAGGGUUUCGGCUCGUAAACCUCUGUCCUAUGGGACGAAGGAAGUGACGGUACCAUAGGAGGAAGCCCCGGCUAACUACGUGCCAGCAGCCGCGGUAAUACGUAGGGGGCGAGCGUUGUCCGGAAUGAUUGGGCGUAAAGGGGCGCGUAGGCGGCCUGUUAAGUCUGGAGUGAAAGUCCUGCUUUCAAGGUGGGAAUUGCUUGGAUACUGAUGGGCUGGAGUGCAGGAGAGGAAAGCGGAAUUACCGGUUGUAGCGGUGAAAUGCGUAGAGAUCGGUAGGAACACCAGUGGCGAAGGCGGCUUUCUGGACUGAAACUGACGCUGAGGCGCGAAAGCGUGGGGAGCAAACAGGAUUAGAUACCC
rnacentral:rRNA from 1 species